rnacentral:rRNA from 1 species
ACGGAGGGGGCUAGCGUUGUUCGGAAUUACUGGGCGUAAAGCGCACGUAGGCGGCCUUUCAAGUCAGAUGUGAAAGCCCCGGGCUUAACCCGGGAAUAGCAUUUGAUACUGUUGGGCUUGAGACCGGGAGAGGAUAGCGGAAUUCCCAGUGUAGAGGUGAAAUUCGUAGAUAUUGGGAAGAACACCAGUGGCGAAGGCGGCUAUCUGGACCGGUACUGACGCUGAGGUGCGAAAGCGUGGGGAGCAAACAGGA